GACGAACGCUGGCGGCGUGCUUAACACAUGCAAGUCGAACGAUGAAGCCGCUUCGGUGGUGGAUUAGUGGCGAACGGGUGAGUAACACGUGGGCAAUCUGCCCUUCACUCUGGGACAAGCCCUGGAAACGGGGUCUAAUACCGGAUAACACUCUGUCCCGCAUGGGACGGGGUUGAAAGCUCCGGCGGUGAAGGAUGAGCCCGCGGCCUAUCAGCUUGUUGGUGGGGUAAUGGCCUACCAAGGCGACGACGGGUAGCCGGCCUGAGAGGGCGACGGGCCACACUGGGACUGAGACACGGCCCAGACUCCUACGGGAGGCAGCAGUGGGGAAUAUUGCACAAUGGGCGAAAGCCUGAUGCAGCGACGCCGCGUGAGGGAUGACGGCCUUCGGGUUGUAAACCUCUUUCAGCAGGGAAGAAGCGAAAGUGACGGUACCUGCAGAAGAAGCGCCGGCUAACUACGUGCCAGCAGCCGCCGUAAUAC
rnacentral:rRNA from 1 species